AUUACUUAUAAAAGUAAAUAUAUUAAACACAAAAAACUAAGUAUUUAUAACUUUUCAAUGUCUACUUAACAUAUAUAGUUUAUGUAACACAAAAAUAUGAGUUACAAAGUGAACUUAAGUGUAUGCAUAAAUACAACGAAAGAAAAUAAGUAAUGACAACUACUAGUACAAUUAUGUUAAAAUUAAGUAAAUAUAGCAUAAAAUUUUAAGUAUUUGACUGUGAGCCAGUGAUAUGCUGUUUCCUGCCAAGGAGCCAUUUUGUGAAGCACAUGUGAAGACGGUGAGAAGAGACCAGCCCUGUGGAACAACGUAAAGGAGUUGUAAAUCUAUGCUUAACUGUCUGCAUCUCUGAGAAUAUCAUCAAGCACCAUCAGAUACUCAUGGGAAUAAGGAGAAACUGGAACUGCUCACACUUAAAAUCAUCAUGAAAGGUGGCUCAACAGAUGAUCCAUUACAGACUGGGAUAGUGCUGGAAGGCAUAGAGGUGAUGAUGGGAUUGGCAGGUGUUGCAAAGGCUUGUGUUUUUCUGCUUGGCCUAAUUUAUGCAAUUAAUCUGAGUUACCCCAAAGAGAUCAAUGUGCAAUGUUUGUCUGCAACUGUUCGAUUAAAUUCUUGAUUUAUUCUUAGGUUGUUUGUCGCGUGUUCCAAAAGUAAAUGUUAGAAAAAUUGUUGCAAAGGGUGAAAAAAAAUCUAUUGCAAACUUAAUCUCUGUGUUACAAACAAAACAUAAAAGAAAGAAAGAAAAUGAUUUUUUUGUCUAGUUUAAUUAGGAAUUUUGUACAAAAGUAAAUGUUUGAAAAAUGUAAACCCUUUAAGAAGUGUUGCAAAGGGUGAAAAAUCAAGAAAAUAACAUGUUGGAAAUUAAGCUACAUUUGUAUAUUUGUCACAUUUUGUUGUAAAUUCAUGAUGUGUGGUUUUAGGCUUCACCUUCACAGCAGCCUAUCAAAAAAAUAAACUGAAAUGCUUUAUUUUGUGUAAUUUGCUUGUUUAAUUUAUUUAAGUUGCGAUGGCUAAGCAGACCAAUAGCUGAAGAUCUAAAAUCAGUUUAAAUGCUUAGUUGGUUCAACUCAAUUUUUUCAAUAUAAAUUAGUUUAAAUGUUAAGUUAACACAAUUUGAGAUUACUUGGUAGAUUAUAUAUUGUAGAAUAUUUUAAGUAAAGAACGUUGAGUCAACUCAAAUAAUUCAGUUCAUAUAACAAAGAUUAUCUUGUUUAUUUUAAGUAAAAUUGUUCCAAGUUAGGUUUACUUAAAAAGUGUGUUGCAAAAAUGGUGCAUAUAUAUUUUAAGUAAAUCCAACACAUCAUUUUUACCA